rnacentral:lncRNA from 1 species
CCAGCCUGCAUCAGAAACGACUUGUCGUAUUGAAAACGGGCAAUCUUUUGCAAAUAUGAAAUAUCUCCUCCCUCCUCCCCUCCUUUGCAGCUAUGGCAAUGGAGUCUAUUUCUCUAAAGCAGGUAACAUUUGCUACAAAUCACAAUAAUAUCUUCCCAAAGAAUCAAUGGAAACACCAUCCAGUAAUCCCAGCAACUCAUACUAGUAGAAUAAUGUUUCACUUUGGCACCAUCAAAAAUUACAAAAGAACAGAUUUCCAAGGUAAAAAGUUUGUUAACUUACAUAAAUAAAUACAUAGCCUUGCAUAGUUAUUUAGCAGUUCAUUCUUAUGAUAUGAGAUUAUGUUGCUUCCUGACAUUAAUGGGUUUUCUUUGUUUUCUUCUUAAAACUCUUGACAGAUUUUUUUUAAGUUUUCUUGAACAACCAUUUGGAUCAUCAAAGAGCAUAUGUAGUAACUUAUGUACUACAAACCAAACUCUGUAUCUCACUAAUUACCGUUGCAUAGUCAGAUUGCAUGGACAUGGAAUUGAAGCAAAUUGCUAAUGGAAGACAUUUUUGUUAUGAUGCCUUGUACAAUCCCUUCCGUGUUUAUUAACAUAAAAUUAAAGUAAGCUGUGUUCAUGAUUGCUGAGUUUGGCUAUGAACUCCUAGUUCAUAGAACUAAUGAGUUUCCGUUUAAGAUUUUCAGGGCUAUGCGAAAAUUUAGACUUCUUUUGCCAGCCACGGAACUGAAAGUUUGUCACAAGAAAAGUUCCUUACAUAUAUCAGACGAUCUCAGUCUUUGUUCAAGGUUAAACUACAUUCGAUUAAUGUCUAUACUCAUAUCCGAGCGAUCCUAAUGCUGGAAUACUCUUAUGCUUCAUAGACACAAGUGGUACUGACUCAAUUUGCACAGGAUACCUGUGAUCUUGGAGUCCUAUUCUGCUGGCUCGUUUCUGAAUUAUCUGGCGUUGAUCCAUCCCCCUUGUUGAGUAAAAGCCCUUCCUUGUCUUUUUGGAGGGCUUCAGGGUCCAAUAUCAAGCUUGGCAGUGGCUGUAGGGUUUACUUUUCUAGCGAUGAAGUAUAGCUCAGGCGAUACUCCCUCGGUGUUGACUCCAAAAGAACUCCCGGAUGGAACGCCGGGGUUUCUUGGAUGUAGUAGUGGCACCAUUUAAGCCUAUGAAACUGGGUUUCGAUGAAAAUGAGUGACGCCAAGUAAAGUGAGUUUUUCUCACCUAAAAAAGGAGAGGAUGCCAUGCCACUAUCCACCGGCAUCCUUAUGGCCGCCAAGUAAAAAUGCGUCUGCCGGGAGUCGAACCCGGGUCUAUUGCUUGGAAGGCAAUUAUCCUAACCGUUGGACUACAAACGCUUUUGUUGAUUAAUUUCUAUGUUUGACAUAUUUAGAACGCCGUUUCUGUCGCGUGGUUUAAAAAAAGUGUAAAGCUGUUGUUUUAGAAAAAAAUAAAUAAUUAAAAAAAAUCCUUAAAGAUAAUCCGUCGGGUCAACUCUCAAUUUGAUUUGUCAAGAAAUCCGAUUUUAGGUCAGAUUAUAAAAUUAAUCUAUUGGUUUAAUUACUAUGAUUUUUAAAUUUGAUGGGAAAAAAAAGUCUCAUAUAAGAUGAGGCAGUACCCUCCUCCUCUUCAAAAUCUAGAUUUUAGAUUUUCCAAUACUUCUAGGUCCCAAAAACAGCAUAUUAUUGAUGCAAUUUAGCACAUGCAUAACUUUAAAAUAACUGAGAUAACAUGCCUGAGAAUAGUUUUCUGAAGCUGUAAUUAAGAUGCGUUCAACAUUUCCAGUUUCUACAACGGGAUGAGCAGGCAUGCAUGUGUCUCUUCGAACCUAACCUACUGCCUGAGAAUAGUUUUCUGAAGCUGUAAUUAAGAUGCGUUCAACAUUUCCAGUUUCUACAACGGAAUGAGCAGGCAUGCAUGUGUAAUUUCCUCGGUAAUUGGAAGAAAUCAUUUCCAGUUUCUAUCUUUAAACACUAACCAAACGCAACCUUAUAGCAUGGAAAGUAACUUGCAUCCACAUUUUCGAUAAGAAAAUCUAGGAAUCAAAAGCUUUGACACAUGCCCAUGCUAAGAACUCUUGUCAAUGCAACUCUUGUCGACUAAUAAUUUGGAAAUCACCACGCAUAAUAAGAAAAUGAAAGGUAGAAGAGAUAUCUUAAUUGGAUUAUCUUUCUUCUGACGAGUAUACGUAUACUCCACAGUCGAAUAAACACAUUGCCAGACAGCACCAGCCAAUCCAAAAUACUCAACAAUAGUGCCAACAGGCUUUCUAGUUGCGGAAGUAUAAGUUGAUCGGGGAUGAAAAAGUGGCAAUGGGCUCAUGCCGGCCGCCCGUUUAAUUCUUUCCUUUCGAGCCAUGUGAAUGAGAUCAACGGCAGCAAGAAGCAAAGCUACAAAUGCCAACACCAUGCCAAUUUGUGCAUAACCCAUCUGGUCAAAAACCGCAGAUGCAAUCUCUAGGAUUAAGUUUGUCAUCAGCAAAGUCCAUCCUGAUAUUUCCUAUACAAGAAAGUAGUUGGUUGUAAACAAGGCAGUUAAGAAAAUCUCACCAAUUCUAAAAAGCGUUGUUUCCAUAGUUCUUACUCUAGGACGUGAACUUUCUCCAGCAUCCAGCAGCUGUUCUGCCUCUACAUAGAUUGCAUGCUGUACAAUUAAUUCACAAUGACAUAAUGUGAGAUAAUUGAUAAUACACAAAACAAUACAAUUAUGACUGGCAGAGACUCAUAAUGUAAGAUUAUCCCAUCUACUACUAUAUAUAGAUUAAAAGAAGUUAGACAAGAUUUGACUAAGUAUAUAUCACCUGGUUCACAUCAUUAUCAUUCAUCGAGUCGUCUUGGCUGAAGACAGAUGCAGCAAGAUUUUCAAGACGAUUAUCUGCAAAGUUGGCCAAAUUAAUAUCCAUAUAAAGGUUGUGAUAUCAACCUUCGAAGAAUUAUUUUGAAAAGAAGAGAGACAAAAAAGAAUUCCAUGUGCUUAGAUAUAUAAUUUGCUUUCAUGAUUCAUCCUAAAUAUAAAUAUUAAAAAAUAAUAUAAAUUAUAUAUUAAAUCUCACUUUACACUUAAAUUUUUAGAUUAAACUAGUUCAUAUUAAAACUUUAAUAACCACGUACCAUUUGCUUGUAACUCUGGAUGAGGCCGCUGCGUGUUCCGCAAAGCUAAGUAAGGUAACUGCAUUAUCAAAACACAUUAAAUAUUUUUCAUGGAAGUCGUGGUGGGAAUUGGAAAAUUCUUAAAAUCAAGAGUUUCAAAAGAAAUAAAGUAUAGACCUUCUCCAUUAAAAUCGUAUUUGCUAUUAAUUCUUGAAGAGAGUGGUCAUUCCACGAGCGUAACUCAGGUAACUGCAUGCAUCAUCAAAACAUCAAAUAUUUUUCAUGGAAGUCGUGGUGAAAAUUAGAAAAUUCUGAAAAUCAAAAGUUUUUCAAAAGAAUAAGAGCAUAGACCUUCUCCGCUAGAAAUUCUGGAAUAGUCUGGUUAUUCCCCGAAGCUAACUCAGGCAACUGCAUUAUCAAAACAUUAAAUAUUUUUCAUGGAAGUAGUGGAAGAAAUUGGAAAAUUUUGAAAAUCAAAACUUUCAAGAGAAAUAACAGUAUAGACCUUCUCCAUUAGAAAUUCUGGAAUAGGCUGGUUAUUCCUCGAAGCUAAGACUGGUUGCUGCAUUAUCAAAACAUUAAAUAUUUUUCACUUAAGUUAUGGUGGAAAUCGGUAAAUGCUGAAAAUCAAAAGUUUGUGAAAUUCAUGUCAAAAAAUCAUCUCAACCCAAAAUCUUAAUAGGCCUCGAGAUAUAAUUUAUAUUAUUUCUUAACUUUUCUUUCCAAGUGAAAAUUGUUUGCUUAAUUUUAUUAAUUAAAAUAAAAAUGAUAUGAUUCGAACUCAUGAUCGUUUGAUUAUCAGAACUUUAAUAUCAUAUAAAAAAACAAUCUCAAUCAAAAACCUUAAACUAUUAGAAAAGGCUUCAAGAUGUUGCUCAUGUUAUUGUAUAACAGGUUAGACGCGAAUUGAAGGUACUUCUUACCAGCCGGCUCACAUCAUUAUCGCUCAAGGUAAGUGACUUCAAGUGAAAGAGAUCGGAAAAAAAUGCAGUAAUACCGUCGAGAAUCUUAUCUGCAAAUUGAUCAUAAGCUGUCAGUAGUUUGAUGAGUUAUUGAGUCAUGUGAGUAUUGAGUUCCACGUUAUUAGAAAUGAGAUCAGAAGUGAGGUGCUUGCUUAUAUAUAUUGAAAAGAUUGCUAUAUAUGGCCUAUGCCAUCAUCAAAUUUCCAUGUAUGCACAGUAAUUUUAGUUAGUGUGAAGUACUCUUAAGGCUUUUGUAAUGCUUUCUCGUAGUAUAUUGAGUUUGCUAACAUUUCUAAAGAAAAAGUAGCUAACAUAUAUACCAUGUGCUUGAUAGAAGAAAGACCCAACGAUUUCUGGAAGAAUCUCCAAGUUCGACAGACCUAUAUCAGACAACUGCAUCCAGUGGCGGGGGCUGGCAAAGGCCCGCAUAAGCGGGGGCAAGCGCUGCAAGAAAAUUGUUUUUUCAGCUCCUCUCGUAACAAUAUUUAUAAUUUAAACCAAAAUAAUAAAACAACCGAAACCUUGGCUCUCUUUAAUUUUAUUUUCUGACUCGCCCCUGACUGCAUCAUCAAACAUUAAUUCCAUUAGUGUCGAGGAAGGGUUAUAUUUUGUAUCAUGUGACUUGAAGGAAAUAUUAAUGGCCAAACUAUUGUGUUUCACUAUCCCAUUAAGAACACGUUGAGAAUUUAAGACUCUAAUUCUUGGGCCUCCUGACAUAUAAAAUAUCAAUAACAUCACGUAUAAGAAUGAAUUGAAAAAGAAUUUGACUGAAAGUAUGCAAUAACUCUGAUGAGAGAUACUGAUAUUGUUGUAUUUUUUGCAGCUUCGAUCCAUUAAUGACAACCAGCAGCCCGUUAGGCACCAACGAAUAAUAGGAAAGUUGAAGAGUUUCUUUAGUAUGCUAGCUAGGAUCUAAGAUUGCAUGAUGCCAAUACCACAAAUCAAAAAUGCAUAUUAGGUAUAUAAUAAUUAAAAAGUAAUUGUUAAUAUUACAAUAAAAAAAAAUAUAAUGUUAUUUAAAAACUAUGAUAAAAUUGAAUUUUAAUUUAAAUACUAUUUUAUUUAUAGUGCAUUUUAAUGAAAAUGAAAAAAAAAUUGAAAAAAAAACGGAAGAGCUAUAGAAAGAGAAAAUGACAUGUCAUUUAUUUUAUAUGUAUUUGUAAACAAAUCACACCAUGUUAUUUACUAGUUAAGAUUUUAACCAUCGCAUGUGGCUAGAAAAUUAGGAUACUAGUUUUUAAAGUUCAAAAAUUUAUUUUUUUAAUUUUUCUUUCACUUGAAAACAUCAAAUAAACAUCUUAAUAACCUUAUUAAAUUCAUUUUCAAUAUUAAAACACUCAUUAAUAGAUCAGAAAUAUCUAAAAUUACACCGAAUGAUCUACCGAAUCAUUUCAGGUAUCGUAACUCUUGUUUUUUAUAAUACAAAUUUAAAUCUUAUUUAAUUAAAUUAGCCUCUAUUUCAAUUUUAAAAUUGUACCAGAGAUCUUAAGAAUGUGUAAAAGAAAAUAAAAUAAAAUUUUAACAUAUAAAAUAUCAAUAGCAUCACGUAGUAUAUUGAGGCUUUUGUAAUUGAAAAGAAAAGAAAAGAAUGAAAUUGAAAGAGAAUUUGACUAAAAGAACAGUAAUGCACAGUAAUUUUAGUUAGCGUGAACUCUUAAGGCUUCUGUAAUGCUUUCUCGUAGUAUAUAUAUUGAGUUUGCUAACAUUUCUAAAGAAAAAGUAGCUAACAUACAUACCAUGUGCUUGAUAGGAGAACGAUCCACUCCAACGGUUUCUGGAAUAAGUUCCAGCUCACCAGAUUAGACAAUCUCUGCAUCAUCAAAAAUUAAUUCCAUAUAUAUGUGUCAAGGAAGGAACUUGAAGGAAAACGGCCAAACUAUUGUGUUUCGCUAUCCCAUUUAGAAUUUAAGACACUAAUUCUUUCUUGGAUUUAUGUGGGUGUAUAUGUGCGUUUUGAGUUGAAUUAGUGUUCGUUUAAUACUGCUCGUAGGCUUUUAAAAUUAUUUUUAUCUAGAGAAACAUUAAAAUAAUAAUUCUUAAAUGUUUUUUAUAUUUUAAUAUUAUGAUAUUAAAAAUAAAAAAAUUGAAAUAAUAUUAAUUUAAUAUAGUUUUAAUUAAAAAAAUAUUUUAAAAAAAAUCAUGUAGUGAUUUUUUAGUUAAAGAGAAGGUAUAGAGAUCAACAGUGAAGCAAAAACAUGGAUCAGAAACAACAUAUUUGAAAAUUGUUAGUGAAGUACUAGAACUAAUACAAUCACCUCAGCAAGUAAUGAUAUUGAUGAUGGAAGGAGGGAAUGGAGGGAUUGCUCAGGUGCACGUCGACGACGGAGUCCAAGCGUCAGAACAGGUUCAUCUUUCUCUGGUUCCAUUGCCUCCCAUUUCACUUCUUCCUCUUCUAUUUCCAUGACCACCGCUCUUUUUGCUUCCUCCGUGUAUCAGUACAUACUGAUGUCAGUGCCAAAACUAAUCACAACCGCAAGGGUAGGAUUAAGCAAAAUUAAUCACCUACACAAAAGUAGGAUUUACUCUCUGUAAUUGAAAAUCUGUUACCUGGUUUGAUAUCUAGCAGAUUCCUUGGGAAAACAAAUGAAAAGAGCUGUUACUUGUUUCUCCUUUUGAAGUCGAUGAAGAUCUAAAUCAGUAAUUGCUAGUUAGUAACCUAGCCAGGAGUCACAUGGAAACUUCUUAAGGGCUUCAUCUCCGCGUUAAGUCACUGUUUCUUGCAAGAUUGCCUUUGUAUCAUUGUCAUAAAGUGAGAGAGAAAAAAGUAGGAUUUGAUUCAAACACAGUGUUAUAAUAAAGACAAUGAAUAGAGCACCAAUAAUUGAUAAAAGGGAGGGGAAUUUUCUUAAUACCCAACUUCCUCUCCGUUUCCUUCCCUUCCCUACAUGUCGGUUCGCGAUCAUAACAGGGGCAGUAGGAUCCUUUCCUUUCAAACCAUGUGAAUGCGUUCAAACUUGGGUUGACCCGCGGGUCAAAUUUUAUCAUUAAUGAAGUCGCCCUCUCUUCAUACUAGUACUUUUUACAGAAUGAUCAAGUUAGCUGGGUAAUGAUUAAGUUUUUUGUUGUGUUGAGUUUCCCUUCUAUUUGCAAGAUGGUCAUGCCAAGCUGUGAGACCCCCUUCCUCUGCGAUUUUGUAAUAGAACCUUGCACCAGCAAUUUAGGUCCCGUUUGUCUGGAAAAUAGUUGCUUUUUGAAAAGAAAAUUUCAGAAAAAGUAAAUUUCAGAAAAUUAUUUUUCGAUGUUUGGUAGUGUAAUGAAAAAUAAAUUGAAAAACAUUUUUCAGUGUUUGGUUAUAUCAUGGAAAACAAGUUAGAAAAUAACUUAUUAAUGUUUUAUUUUUCUCAAGUUUAUUAAAAUAAUGAGGAACAAAUCUUACAAAUUAAAAAGUUGAAUGAGAAUGAAAUUGAAAAAAAAAUAUAAUUUCAUAAAUUAUUUUAAAUAAAAUAAAUAAUAAUCAAAAUAAUAGAGAUCAAAUUUAAAAAAUUUAAAAAAAAUGAAAGAUGAAGAAAUUAAAAUAAUAAUAAUUAACAUUUCAUAAAUUAUUUCAAAUAAAAUAAGUUACAAUCAAAAGAAUGAGAAUCAAAUUUGAUAGAUAAAAAAUUUCAAUAAAAAAAAUGAUAAGGAAAAAGCAAAUAGCAAUUAUAAAAAUAAGAACCAAAAUUAAUAUAAAAAUUAAAUUUUAAGAGAUGAAAUUGAAAAAUAAAUAUUCAAAACAAAUUAUAUAUAGCAAUCAAAAGUUUGAGGAUCAAAUUUGAUAUAAUCACCAAAUAAUGACAUUUCUAAAUUUUUCACAAUUUCCGGAAAGUGUUUUCAGCCCAAAUUUUCUAGAAAAAACUUUCGUGAAAGCCAAGCUAAAUUUUACUUUGACUGGAAAGUGUUUUCCGUUGACCAACUUUUCUAACGGCAAACAAACACAAAAAAGUUUGAAAAAUAAUUUUCCAAAAACUACUUUAAACAAACAUGAAGUUAAUCUUCAUAAACUCUCUCCAAUUGUCGGUGACCUUUAUGGAGAAAACAUCCUCAUCGCAUAAACCAAAUCGUUCGAGCUCAUCCUGUGGAAGCUAAACUCUCCCUGUCAAGGCACUGAAAGAAGAAAGGAGUUGAAACAUUUAAUGAGGUAAUUAACCAUAAGCAAAUAAAUUAGUGACAAAAACUUGCUCUUCCCACACAUCUCUAUAAGAGUGUCUGUGAAUUGAUUUGCAAUACAAAAAUGAACUGCUGCAUUGUAAAUACUUUGAACAGAAACAGAAGAAGAUUCAGGUGCAAUCCCCGUUACUGGAACAGUCAUGGAUCCAGUUGUGCCAGCAUCAUAGUAGCAGUAAAGGUGGAUGGCCCAAAUGCUGUCUACAAGGGCACUUCUCUUCUUGAUAGGUGGGAAGAAAGACUGCAGGACAUCUUCAACGGCCGCCCCUAUGACAUGGUUGAUGCUGCACUAGCUUAUUGAUAAAGUUUCCAAGUUCUAUAUAGACAUAAAGUUGCUCAGGACAUUUUCUACCUGAAUCAAAUUCCCCUCUAGCUAAUUGCUUCUGUUCAAGGUAUUUAUAAUGCAGCAGUAUACUACGGUAUGGCAAAUCAACUAACAAACAUCGUUGGAGAUAUGUGCGAGGAGUAAGUUUUUUGUGAUCAUUAGGCAAAUGUAAGGAGGGGAAGUAUUGGAGUAAUGCAUAGGAAGGAAAAAGGGCAUCAACACUCAACAAAAGGUUGGUUAAAGUUAUCACCGAGAGAGGAAAUGGUGCCAAUGAAAAAACCUUGGAGCUUACUCUUAAGAGAGGCUGCAAGACAUCUUCAAUGCUGGACACCCUCCCCCUGGAUAUGCUGUUCAUACUGAUACUGCUUCUCCAAGUCCUGCUCAGGCAUUGAGGUGAAUAGAACAAUCUACCUUGGAAAGUUUUUGUGACAAAACAAGCCCAUUUCUUAACAAAGGUCCAAAGUAGCCCAUGAAGUUAGAAUACUUCAAAAUGUGGAAUCCUGCCCUCAAAAGGCCCAAAGAUUGAAGGGAAAUCCAUAUUUCAUGGGGAUUGGGCUAGUUUGUGGUCAGGGCUACUGAUGAAUAUAUUUGAAAAUGAGCAUUCAAACCUUAUGAAGUUGAAAGAGCUGUGUUAAAUUGACCAUAUUAUAUUAACUCAUAGACUAGAAAAACUAGUGUAUUUGACCUCUUGAUAUUGGCUUUGAUCGCUAUUAAAAACAGCCAUCAUCAUAUACCAUUAAUAAGAAUGAUUAAGCACCUACUUGACCCAGUUUUCCUAUUCAAGUGUAGAAGGAGUUAUGUUUUCCUUAAAAAUCAAACUCUAAGAUCAGCAAGCCUUCUUAAGAGUUCAUGUUCAUGAAGUUCCUAGGCUACUUUAUUUCUUUCUUGUGUACCAUUUACUUGCUGGUCUAUUUUAUAGCCAGCUUUAUUAUUUUAUUCUAGUCUUGGUUAUAAAACUUAAAUUCUCCUAGCGGGUUGAUUGAGGAUGUAAUUAAUCUAAAAUUUAGAUUAAUUUGAGUUAAAAAAAAAAUACCCUAGUUUUUCAAAACUCAACCCUCAAUUUAUUUAAUUUUUAUUAAAAUAAUAUUGUUUUAAUUUAUUUUUAAAAAAAUUAAAAAAUCAACUCGAGUUAAUCCUCUAACUUAAAUCUUGUUCAAAUCGAUAUCUAAAUUGAAUUUUAAAACUGCAAUAGUGGUGAAAACCGAUUGAAUUAUAUACUGUUGGAUUUUAAAGCUGUUCUAGUGAUGCAACCGAAUGAAUUUUAUACUAUUUUAGGUUAGGAGAAAAUUAUCUUUCACUAAUCUUUUAUAUUAUUAGAGAAAAUUAAGUAACUGAGGUGAAAAUGACACAUAUGCAGACUGCAAUUCCUAGUUUAGUAUCAUUGGUGGAAUCAAUUAUUCUUUUUUUUUCUUUUGGCUCAUUGCUUUGGAACAACCAAUCAAAGCCGUUUGGCAUUGUUUUUUCCGGUCUCCAAGAUGUUCUUUUUUCAGAUCACACUUUGUCUUUCACAUUGACUUUUACCUAUCAAAUUUCCUUUCUAGUUUUGGCAAGUAUGGCUAGAUCCCAAUGGAUUUAGUGAACUUUCUCAGCACCUCGCUGAGCUGGUUCGGUUGAGCCAAUGCAAAGAUGGUCUCAUCAAGUCUCAACUUACAUAGGGUGCAUCACAUCAAUGGACAGUCAAACUGCCAAGAAGCAGCUCCAAACAGGAACUUUCAGCCUUGUAGAUGGACCGAAUCCUGAUGUUGAGAUGUUCCAAAGGAAGCACUACAUAGAACUAGUCCAACUGACAUGCAUCAUGGCCUCCAUAAUUGGAAGAGGACGUCAACAUGACCUAUCAUUUGAUUAGUUCAUUCACGGGGGAGGGUUUUAUUUUACUUCUAUACUGUAAAACUUCUGCAUGAUCACUUCAGGACAUAAAUAGAAUUGAAGGGUGUAGGGAGGCAUCAAAGUGAUCAAGAUUCUUGUUGCAUAGUCUCAAACAAUGUUUUGGAUUGGUUGGUAUUGGACAAAAUCUAGCAUCUUCGUAACACCCAAUAUUCUCUAAACACCACAUUAGGGACUCGUGUCUUUACUGAAAAAUAUAAAAAAAAAACUACAAGUUGUCAUGAUUUUGUAGAGCAAACUGCUGUCCUUGAUAAGAGCAGGCCAUUUCAAUAAUCCCCCAUUUUUUGCUUGAAAAAUCUAGUCAGCUGAAACUAUUUGGCAAUUUGCAUGAUGCUAUCAUCAAUUUCCUUUUGAUAAAGAGAUUGAGGAGGAGAGGAAUUAAGGUAGAGAGACAGCUAGUUAAUUGACCUAACAUUGCUAGAGAGUAUAAAUGUUUUAGCUGUUCGAUGUUGCAAUAUCAUGAUCAAGUUAUUAGGUAACGUUUUCUGAUGUUUUGAAGGAAGUUCUAGAUCCUUUCAAGCCAUUUUAUCAUUCUUCUAGAGAGCUUUUUCGUACCCGAGAAGAAUCGUUAAACGUUUCCGGAUGUGUUCUACAUUUUCACUUUCGGCUAAGCCUUGCACUGGGGCAGAUAAUGGCAAGUUCUUGCACUCAAAAUCCUUGGUUACAAGAGCAAGAGCUGAAGUGAUCGCAGCUCCUAAGAGAUCAAGCCAACGUGCUUUUCCUCGGCUAUUAAAACAUGGAAUUCCUCAUACUGAUCUUCAAGUACAUGAAAUUGUUGAGAGGCAGUCUCAGGCUAACAGCUUAAGCAAGCAAGAUAUCUGUAGAAAGCCGGAGUUCCAUCCAGCGUUUCUUGAAGAAGCCUAUGAAAGGUGCAGAAACAUUUGCGCCGAAUAUGCCAAGACUUUCUAUCUAGGUAACAUUCAUAUCCCUUCCACAUUGUUCAUUACAUGUAUAUUUCUAGAUGUCAUGAUUCAAGGAUUUCUAGAUGAUAUGAGAACUAUCUCGUCGUUUCGAUGCAUGCUUGAUAGCUUACCAGAUCCCAUUAGCACAGGUUUCCAACCUGUUUUAUGAUUUAUCAAAACAUUUAAUUUGCCUAUAUAUGUUAUCACAAAUUGUGUGGCAAAAUAAUGAUGGUCAUUGUCUCUCGAUGCAGGAACUCGGCUGAUGACAGAGGAGCGACAGAAAGCCACAUGGGCAAUUUAUGGUAAGAGAUUAAAGCCCAGAAUAGAUAAAUUAGUCCUUCAAAGACAAUACUACCAAAUUAUUUAUAGCUCCAAGAAAUUACUUGAAAAGAUAUUCAGUUCAGAAGAUCGAAGAAGCAAUUCAAUUGAUCCUAACAGUCACACUAGAGAUGAAUUAAGCAAAGAGAUUUACAUAAGUAAACUAUUAUGAAAGUUGUUCUACUGCAACUGAGAUAUUUUCUGCAGUAUGGUGCAGGAGGACAGAUGAGCUGGUCGAUGGACCUAAUGCAGUGCUCAUGAGCACUGCUGUUCUUGAUAGGUGGGAAGAGAGGCUGCAAGACAUCUUUGAUGGACGCCCCUAUGACAUGCUCGAUGCUGCACUUACUGAUACAAUUUCCAAGUUCCCUUUAGACAUUAAGGUGCUUGGAAUAUUUACUAGAUGGAUUAAUUCCUAGCACAGUGUAUGUUCUCAAUCUGAUAGAGUUUUUUUAUCAUCUCACAGCCUUUUAGGGACAUGAUUGAAGGUAUGAGAAUGGAUACGAGAAAAUUCCGUUACGAUAAUUUUCAAGAGCUCUAUCUUUAUUGCUAUUACGUUGCGGGCACAGUCGGCCUAAUGAGCGUUCCAGUGAUGGGAAUUGCAGCAGAAUCUGAAGCUUCUGCUCAAAGUAUUUAUAAUGCGGCACUGUACUUGGGUAUUGGAAACCAGCUUACAAACAUUCUUAGAGAUGUGGGAGAGGAGUAAGUCUUUUUUCCACACAACUUCCAUUCAGUUUUCUCGUUUGAAUCUUUUAACUUAGUUCAGUCCUUUUUCUUUCAGUGCUUUGAGAGGGAGAGUUUAUCUACCACAAGAUGAGCUUGCACAGUUUGGGCUAUGCGACCAAGAUGUUUUCGCAAGAAAAGUCACUGAUGGAUGGAGAGAGUUCAUGAAGGAGCAGAUAAUAAGGGCAAGAUUCUAUUUCAACCUUGCAGAAGAAGGGGCUUCAAAGCUUGAAAAGGCUAGCCGGUGGCCAGUAUGAACUGAAAACUUUCCAUUACUUGCAUGAUAAAUUUGCAACACUUCCAACUCUAACCUAUAUUGUACCUAGAGAUUUUUCAUAUGCUGACACAUUGGUCUGUGAUUUGUUGCAGGUAUGGUCAUCCCUACUAGUAUACCAAAAAAUCUUGGAUGCAAUUGAGGAUAAUGAUUAUGAUAACUUCACAAAACGAGCUUAUGUUGGAAGAACAAAGAAACUUCUCACAUUGCCCCUGGCAUACACAAAAGCUCAAUCAAUGUCUAGCUUGAUCCUUCAGUAAAUCAAGAUUUUGUCAACAGACCUAAGGUGGGGGAGUUAUGACAGCAAACAGUGGAGAAGUGGAGUGAAUAGUGAAUCAAGAUUAUGCUUGUGUAUCAUAGAGGAAAUCGUCAAAGUUUGAAUGUUUGUAAGAUUGGUUCAUUAUUGCUUAUAUCAGGUUCUCAAUUCUCUGAUAGAACUAGAAUUUUCAAAACUAUGAAAGUAAAUUGCACACACAUUUCUCAGUUUUCAAAACUAUGACCUUUGCUCAAAAAUUGCUUGCACUGCAAGUGUCAAACUUCUUUGAGGCAUUUAUCAGGCGAGAUGCUGUUCUCUAUAUGCCCACAACAGAGAAGACAUGCUGCUAUGGCAUCCAUAUCCUGUUUUGGGUUCGAGCUCUCUCCCUUGCACUAAGCCUAAGCGCACAGAUGAAAGGAAAAAUAUAUUAAAUAAUUAUAAUCAUGUGAACUGAAAGCAUUUCAAUUCAUUAACAUUAAUACCCAAAUAAAAUUGGGUUCUAAAGAAGAAAGAAAAGGAACAUUUAUUACAUGCUAUAGCAUUGUAUCUUUAGUUUUUUGGCCCUCAUUACAGUCGACUUCCCUUGUUGGAAUUAUCUAAAAAUAGACAACGCUUUAAGGUUGACGAUUUUGCAAGAGAUUCCAAGCUCAGUGGGCAUUGAAAAUGACCAUACCCAUUGCGAAAGAUUCCAAGUAAAAUGUAGAAUCAAAUAUCAAUAGAUGCCAUUUGCCUUGAGGUGCUGCCUCAACACUUUCAAACAGCCUGCCUUUCGUUAUCAAACAAAUACUGGCAAUCAUCCACCCGCACCAUAAAUGGCAUAAACCGUCCACUCACACAAACCACCAGUCUCUUAUCCAUCAAUUACAAUCCAAAAUAUCACGGAACAACCAUUUUAGCUCUCCACAAAACCUUUCAAGGGUGGGAGCCAGCUGACAGAGACUGAGUGAACUGAAUGUUUUGCUUCAACAUUUCUAGAGGGAGACAACACUUCACGGAACUUCGCACUGGUGACAUAAUCAAUAUUUUGACAAUCCAUGAUCAAGGCAACUAUCAUAGAGAAGAUGAUAGGGAAAAACCGCUUAGUCCACACAAAUCUAUGUUUCGCUGGAAAAUCACAACCAAAGCUUGGAAUGAACUGUCAUGGGAAACUUAAAGAGGGGGUUUAAAUUCAAUUCAGGUUCAGCUUUCGUAUGCAAUGUGCAAUCAAAAAUUAUCUAGAAAUGUUAAGGCACCUACUGGAACACUUGGUUAGAAAAAAUAUAAAAGCACCCAUUAUAAGUCAACUCAUUGUCUCUCUACACAUACCCAACCCUGAAACAACCAUCCUUCUACAAAAAGGAAUAAGAUAACAAAAACAGAAUCAAGGCAAAGGAAUAAAAGAUGCCGCAUUGUUUGCUGGAAAUGGUACAUUUGCGGCUAUUUGGUCACCAGCUCCACUGCUUCCUCUUAUGGAAACUCUAGCAUAAUCAGCAAACCAAUUGAAUCAAGGAAGCUCCACCUGCCCGUUAUACAUGCUUUCUGCCACCCACCCCACCCACCAUCAUUGUGAAUUUAUACUCUUAGAUUUGAAAAAUGCCCUCAAUAAGUGAACCAGCCAGGAAGCACUGGCUGUAAGGAUUCGGCAUCUCCAGACCAGCUUCAAUCAUAGGAAAUAAUCUGGUGUUCUCCGGGUCACAUCUGGCUCACCCCUCCUUGGAGCAGGCUCAAACUGCAAACAUAUUUUGAAGAUAUUAUUUUGAGCCUAACUUAUGUGACAUUACCCAUAGAGUGCGCUCUAGCAUCAGACACCAACCUGAAUGAAUGUGUGACCCUUGCAGUCAUCAACUUCCAAAAUAGAAGCCAUGUUACCACAGCGGUAGCAAUAGUUGGGUGCACUAAAGAUAGUAACCACCUUUUGUUCCUGUCACGAGAAAAAAAGCACAAUCAAUCAGAUGAAAUUUGCAAACCAGAGCAAGAAAUUCACAAAAAGAAAAGCAUCAAAGGGAAGUAGUUACAUGGCCCCAGUUGUAUCCUUCCAUAACCAGCUGGUGAGCUCUAGCAAUCAGCUUUAAGUUGUUUGUAUGGUUAAAUUGCUCAGAUAUGUCCUACAGAAACAAUAUCCGUAAGCAUCCCAAGAAGAAAACUCUGUUCUGCUAAAAAUUAAGAGCAUGGGUGAAAAGAAGGGAGUGGAGUGAGUAUAUUACUUGACCAAAGGUAUAUCCAGCACCCCUAGGUGAGAUGCCCCAACCACAGCGAUCAUCAGGGUCAGACCACAAAAGAUCACACAUGGGACCCUCAUGGGGAACUUCUUGAACACGAUCAAAAUUACGAAUGUUAUCAAGGGUUUCAAUGGAGGGUGAUAAUCCACCAUGGAGGCAAAAUAUUUCCGACUCAACCUUCAAAAGAGAACAAAAUACAUAUAUGACACCAUAUCCACAUUAAAUGCCCUAACUAAGAAGUAAAAUCUAUUGUACAUCUAAAAAGGAAAAUGCAAAUUUGGUAUUUUUUUUCUUCAAUUAUCUUGGUAGCAAAAAUAUUUGUUAUUUGAUAUUUUUUUACCCAGCACUCACCAAUGCUGUCAGUGGAAAAUAAUCAAACAGAUCUGUAAAGAUCUUCCAAACAUUAGCAUUGCCAUACCUGCAAAAAAAAAAAAAAACACCAUAGAUACUUAUCUUUUCUGUACAUACUUGUGCCAAAAGAAUUGUAUAAAACCAUUUGAAUAACAUGAUAUACAAAGUUAGAAGAUGUGAGAGGAGAAGGUUCUUGGAAGCCUGUUUUCCAACUAGUCAAAAAGUCUACAACUAUCAUCAAGUCCACUUCCUUUCAAUUUCAAGGACUGUGGGGGUUGAGGGUAGAGUUUUCAUUUACAGGCUAGUGCACUUUGUCAGGUUCAUCAAAAAGUAGUAUUCUUUUUUUAUAUAAAGUGUAGUGUUGAAAUUGCACAGAGAAUUCCAAUUCUCUGUAACAACUUAUAUUCAUGCAUAUAAAACAUGUUACAAACCAAUGCAACAGUCGUCCAAAUUAAAAACACAGAAGUCCAACCGCAAGACACCUAAUGCACUAACAUGCAACUUAGAUAGACACACAGUAUGUCCAGAGUUUCAGUUUGCACUAUGCAAGUAUCUCUUGUUCAGCCUAACUUUGAUUUCCCAUGCUUUGAGAAAAACUUCAUUGUAAUGCUUUUUUUCCUCUUGCUUUCUCCUUAUGUUUUUUUGUUAUAGCUUUUCACUUCUACAAGCAACCCCGUUUCCUUAUCCGUGUCAUUUAUAAAAUCAUAUCCAGGUCACAAUUGUAAGAAAGUAAAAUUUAUGUUUAUGCAUACUGUACACAAGAAACAUUAAGAGGGAACUACAAGCCAAAGACUGUAGGAUUCCAAACUAACUUGUAAGUUAGGAUGUAAUUCCAUUAGACUAAGGAUUCAGAAGAACUCACUUCCGCAGGCAUUCAUCAUAGAAACCAUAAACUUGAGUAAUCUGAAAUGGGAACAAGCAUCCAUAAUCAGCCCAAUUGAUUUGAUGCUGAGAAAAAGCUAGGGUAUGAAAGAAUUGAAAUCAUAAAAUGUUUAGAUGUCUUAAAAGUUUACACCCUGCCAAAAACAGUACCGCAUUAAGUUGCAAAUAUAAUCAAUUAAUGACCCUUCAACCUAGGAUAAAACAAAUUAUAGCAUCAGUUGGCAAAAUACAUUCGGAAGCAUACCUGACGACUUUCAUGAUUUCCCCUUAGAAUAGUAAUCCGUUGAGGAUAACGCACUUUCAAGGCAACCAGGAGCUGAUAUAAAAAAAUCAAUCAGUAUCACAUCUAAAAAGUUAAGAGCCUCAACCAAACUAAGGCCAAAGUUUAUCAAAAUUUGUGUAUAGGUAAGAGAAUGUUAGAAGUGUUCCAUUCAACACAGCUUAAUUUAUAUGUUUUUCCAAUUCAAACCAGAAAGACUUUGGCAUACAUACAGUUCCAUGGACAACUCUAAAAAUACAACCUAUUAUAAUGGCAUAGAUACAUCAAAGGAGAAGGGAGACAUUGAUGUUGAAAUGCAUGGGGGAAAAUAGAAAGAUGGAAGUACUUACUGUUACGGUUUCUACUGAAUAAUAGCCACGGUCAACAUAAUCUCCCAUGAACAAGUAAUUUGUAUCUGGACACUACAGCAAACAAAAAUGCACAAGUGAACAAUACCAAACUAGGUGAGCACAAGACAAAUGGUGGAAGCUUAAUACCUUAGAUGAUAGCAUGAUAAUGAAAUAGAAAUUAAAAAUAGUAAAAUGUGUAAUGUACUCAGAAUGUUGUGGCAUCACUGGCACUGUCAGAUAUACACCAUGUAUGAUGAUAAAUAGCAGUCAAAGGAACCUCAACUAGAAAUCCUUGCAUUUCCAGUAAAUGUUAGAAAAAUUAACAGAUGAUAGAGAAAGGGAAGGGUUGAUCCCUUGCUAUUGCAAUGGUCUCCAUAGAAGCUAAAGAAAAGGAGGAGGAAAGAAAGUGCAGUAAAGAGACUCCAUGUGUAUCUCCUUAACUAAAAACAAAUGCAAGAUUGUGACCAUUACAGCCACAAGAAGAAAACUCAUAAAGGAGAUAACAAUUGGCAUUAAUUUGAAUCGCCAUGUCUGCAAAUAUUAGAACAUAAAAUUGCUCAAUCAGAAACUUACCUUCCCGCCAAUGCGAAAAAGCUCAGCUAGAUCAUGAAAUUGACCAUGGAUAUCACCACAGAUUGUAACAGGGCUUUUAACAGGCUGAAAGAUGUACAACCAAAGAAAGUCAAUUACAACUCAGUGGAUUCCAAAGUCCUAAAAGGCUCAUAGCUUGCAUUGCGGAAUAGAUAGCAAAAGAUGGAUACUGAACUGAAACAUAAAAAUGGCAUAUAAAAAAUCCUAGAACUUAUGUUCUGAUAACAGGAAAAAAAAAACAACAUAAGAGUGUAGAGUACCUGAACAUUGCUUUCAUCCAUCAAAAUCUCCUUAGCUUUCUCGCAUAAUGCCCUUACCUGAAUCAUAAAAAACAUUUCCAUUGAAAACAAUAUCCCCAAAGAAUAAUCUAGGUGUUCCCAGUUUUGAAAGCAAUCCUCCUAAAACAAGCAUCAACAUUGCACACUUACUCCUAGACUUGAACAUCUUAGCAUCCACUUCAAACCAAAAUAAUGGAUCCAUGUCACCCACCAGAAUCCAACUUCAUUAAUACAUCUAGAAAGCACAAGUUCAAAGUAUCCACUCCGAUUUAGAAUACCCCACAAAGAACCAAAUUUCAAUUAUGGCAGCUUAAGCAGUAUAAUCUAAUAAGCAAAGAGCAUCAUACUCCUGUUCUCUUAACCUUCCAAACUAUGAAGAAGUCUUCCAAUCAAUAAAACCCAUCAAACAAAAAUCCAAACUUUUUUCGCCAAUUUGAAACCUUAACUUGAAUAAAUCAUAAGAAAAAAUUCAAAAACCAAAACCAAUUAACAGAUCUGUUCCAAUCACCUCCCCAAAUCUAUCUUAAACCCUCCACGAUCCCUUCAAACAUAGAUCACACCGCACAUGAACCCAAAAUAACAGUAGAUUCCCAACUUUAACCCUCACAAACCCGGCCAGAUCCACGCCAUUUCUCCAGAGCUGACCUCAAACACUUAAAAUAGCCCAAAAAAACACCGAAAUGAAGUAUUUUUAUGACAAAUCCCCAAUUUCAACCCCAAAAAAACCAACGAGAUCAACACCAUUUAUCCCAGAAACAGCUCCAGAACCCACCAAAAAAAAAUCAAAGAAAAAACAUCUCAAAAAACAUAAAAAUGGAAACUUUUUAUGGAGAAAAAGGGUUACCUCUUGUUCUGAUAAGGGCUUGCACUGCAUGAGCUGACUAAUUUCCUCAUCAAGGUUUCCAUGUGCGUUUGUAGCCACCGAAUCCAAGCUCAUUUUUUAUUAAUCUUUUUAGGUUUAACCACUAAUUACUUUCCAAUUAGAGAUCCAGAGAUUAAAUCUCCCAAAUUUAUAUAAAAAAAUUGUAACCUUAGAUUUCAAUUUUCUCUUAGAAUUUUUCUUUUUUUCUAGGGAAAAACAGAAAAAAUAAUUCCAGAGAGAGAGUGUAGGGAAGAAGGGAGCGGUGGAGAGAUGCCAAUGGCUUUUACCUAUUUGUUUGAUUAGAUUAUAAUUGGAGAAUAUGCAAAUGAGUCCUCCAUUUAUUUAUUGAUUAUAUAAUUGUCCCUUAUUUUUACAAUUACACAACUUUGUCCUUAAACUAUAAACAAAUGUUAUUUAUUUCAGAAUAUUUAUUCUAUAGUUGAGUCUUGUUAAUGUCUCACUAUAUAAAAAGAAGAUAGGCAAGUGUAUAUAUAAAAAAAGACAAAGAUAUAAAAUAAUUAGUGUUUUGAUUAUUUUUUUAAAAUAAAAAAGAUAAAGAUAAUUGAUACAGAAACUUAUUUGGUUUAAAAAACAAAAAAUUAUAGAGAUAUAAAUUUAUUUGGUUGAAAAUAUAUGAAUAAAGAUAUAAAAUAAAUAUGUUUCUAUAACAAUUUAAGAGUAAUUUUUUAUAUUUUUAAAAUAGAAAAAUAUAUAAAUAUUUAUUGUCUAUAUAUUUAUCUUUUUUUUAAUUUUAAAACAGUAACUAAGAUCUUUAUAAUAUCAACAUCCUUUGAGAUAUAAUUAUAUGAACCAACAAAAUAAUGAACAUGAAUGAUGGUUGGAUUGUAAAAGAUCACGACUUUGAAAAAUAAUUGGCAAUUGUUCUCAAAUUUAGGGAAAACCAUAGAAAUAAAAUCUCCCUUUUCUAUUUGUAAGUCCUCCCCCCGAUCUUUUCUCCAUUAUUAUUUUUUUCAAUUCCUUGGCAUGAAUUAGAAUUGAGAUUAAUAAAUCUUUUUUUUAAUCUUAAUUCUUGUUAAUGGAAAAAAACAAUAAAAAAAAAGAGAGAAGGAAGAUUCGACAAUGUUUGCAUACCAAUUUAGUAACUUUGCUCACUUGGACCGAUUUAGAUUUAGGUUUAGUUCGAUUUUGGAUCAGAAUUGAAAAUUGACUCAAUUAAACUUGCUUGAUUUAUUAAAUAUUUAUUUUUGUGUUAUAAUAUAUUUUUUGAAGUAUUUUUUAAUUAUUUUUUAUAUUUUAAAAAAAUUAGAAUGAUACAUUUUAAAUGUUUUUGAAUAGUUUUAAUAUAUUUAUAUAAAAAAAAUCUAUAAAAAAUAAUACAUUUUUAAUAUAUUAAAAACAAUAAUUUUACACUCUGUUUGUUUUUACGUUUUAAAAGUAUUUUUAAAAACUAUUAAAAUUUUUUAUUUUUUUCUCUGCUUUAAAUUAAUAUUUUUUUAAUGUUUUUAUAUUAUUUUGAUGUGCUGAUAUUAAAAAUAAUUUUUAAAAAAUAAAAAAAAUUAUUUUAAUAUAUUUUUAAAUAAAAAAACAAUAUUUUAUUUAAAAUAAAAAACAAUUUUAUUUUUAAAAAUAAUUUUUUAUUUUUUAAUUAAGGGUCGAUGACCAGUUAAUCAAGUGAAUCUUGGUUUUUAAUUGGGUAAAUUAAAUUAUUAUUAUUUUUAUAUUUUUUUUUAGCUCGAACUUAAAUAGACUAGGAUUUAAAUUGACGUGUCGGGUUAGAGAAGGUUUUAAAAUAAUAUUCAUGAAUCAUGACCCAAUUAACCCGAUGAAAAUCGUGAGACGAGAGGAGAUACUCCAAAAAUAAAAAGAAAAAAGAAAAAAGAAAAAACUCUGCUUACAAGAAUAGAGAGAGAGAGGGAAACCUUAACUUGUACAGAGAGCCCCCAUCAAAAGAUAUUUUUGUAUUUCCGUUUUCUUUUCAAGGAAAAAAAAUAUUAUUCUCUUCUUCAUUUUUUUAUCUAAUUUAAUUAUCAGGGUUUCUUCCUUCUCUUCGAUCCUCUCCAUUCCAAACGCAUCCUUUCCUUCAAAUCUCUCUCCCCUCUCGCCUCUCCGUUUCCUCGCUCUCUCUUUCGCUCGAAAGGUUGGAUUUUUUGGAAUAGAGUUGUUGCUUUUAAAUCUUGGCUGUUGAUGAAGCAGAUCAGGUUUUUUAUUUCUUUAGGGUCUGUUUUUUCUUUUUUUUUCUUUUUUUGCAUUGUCUGCAUGGAAGAUGAUGAUUGUGUUUUUGAGGAUUUGAUAGGUUUAUUUGUUUCAGGAAUUGGUUUUUCUUUUUCUAUUUUUUUGUUUUUUAUAAGAUUGUGUUUGAUAUUUAGCUGUUAGAUUUUCUUAUGGUUUAAAUGUGAUGAAAAUCGAGAUUUUGAUUGAUUUAUUGUUUGUUAUGAUGGAGUGUUAAAAGUAAGUUUGAGGAAUUUAAUUUGGUGAAGUUUGUGGUUGAAUUUGUUUCGCCGUGUGUAGAAAAAAGGAAUUUUGAAUGAGUUUUGGUGAUUUGUUUGAUUUGUUGUAGUUUUCUCGUUGCUGUUGUUGUUUUGUUGUAUGUGAUGAGCAUAUGCUUUGAACAUUGAGAAUAUGAUAGAUUUUAUGGUUUUGUCAGGGCUUAAAUUGAAGUUUGUGAGAUCAAAAAAGAAAAAUUGCAUAAAGGGUGAAUUGUGUUGACUGAAGUUGAAUCAAAAAGGAAAGUAUUGGGGUUUUUGCGUUCUGGUGAAGAAUUGUGAUGAAUAAGAAGAAUUCAUGGGCAGAUUUGGCUGCAAAUUCUGCAGCUGAGAACAUAAAUGCUGGUUCUUCUGCUAACACUGGAAGUGUAGGUACUACUCCUGCAGCUGCCCCUUCCCGAUCCACAUACGUCCCUCCUCAUCUCCGUAACCGUGCACCAUCCUCAGACCCACCAGCUGCUGCUCAUAGUGGGCCUGUGUCGAGUAAUGAUCAUUCUGGGUAUGGUGGUGGAUCGCGCUCAGGUGUUCCAAGAAAUGAUUUCCGUGGUGGGUAUGGUGGUAGCGGUGGGAGAUCUGGUGGGUGGGGAAACAGAGGUGGCUGGGAUCGUGGGAGAGAGCGGGAAGUAAAUCCUUUUGGAGAUGAUGACGAAACAGAGCAGCCAUUUAGUGAGCAAGAGAAUACUGGCAUUAAUUUUGAUGCGUAUGAAGAUAUUCCAGUUGAGACAAGUGGGGAGAAUGUGCCACCAGCUGUAAAUACCUUUGCGGAGAUUGAUUUGGGUGAGGCGUUGAAUCUGAACAUCCGCAGGUGCAAGUAUGUGAAGCCCACGCCGGUGCAGCGGCAUGCCAUUCCAAUCUCUCUUACAGGCCGGGACUUGAUGGCCUGUGCCCAGACUGGUUCUGGGAAAACUGCUGCUUUCUGUUUCCCGAUUAUUAGUGGAAUUAUGAAAAUGCAAGAUCAGAGUGCACAAAGGCCACUUCGUGGAGCACGAACUGUGUACCCGCUAGCUCUUAUUCUCUCUCCAACCAGAGAGCUUUCAAUGCAGGUGAGUUUUGUUAAUUGGCUGUUUAUAUGAUACGCUUCUAUCUGUGCUGCUUAUUGUGAGGAAACCUAAUAUGUUGUGGUUAUGAUUGCAGAUACAUGAGGAAGCUAAGAAAUUCUCAUAUCAAACUGGUGUUAAAGUGGUUGUUGCUUAUGGAGGAGCACCAAUUCACCAACAGGUUUUGUAUUAGUUGGUGAUGCUAGUGCCUGCUAUUUUUCAUAAUUUCUUUUUUGAAACUGAUUAUGUUGGCUCCUGGCAUCAUUCCUUGAUCAGCCAUACUUUCCUAUACUGUUAGCUGGACUUUAAUUCUGUGGCUGUAACUAUACUGUUUACUCUUUUCCUUUGUGAAAUUAAACAAUGACCUCUUUUGGGAAGUCAGAUUUGAAUCUGUUUUCCCUCUACCUGUUAAUGUGUACCUUCUCAAAGCUGAUGUGUUAUGCUGUUUUUAUCCAAGCUAUUUCUUGGAUCUCAAACUUACACCCCCCUGAUCCCCAGUGAUAGUCUCUUUUGUUUGUUUCUAGCGACCUGGCUUUGCCUUCAUUUCAAUUUUAUAUAUUCAACUAGAAGUCACAUUUUCUGCUGCAUGUUUCUCGACUCUGCGAUUGGAAAACAAUGAAUGCUGUACUGUUUUUCAUGCAAUACUAGUGGUGCUAUCUGGUAAAGCGUUGAAUACAACUGUUAGAAUCUGCUAUCUAAUGAGCAACAUGCCAUCAAAUGGUGUUAUACAGUGAUAUUAGGUUUGCCACUUUCCACAAUAAUUCUAUUUUUAAAUGUUGAUAUUUAUGUGGCCAGCUGCGAGAACUGGAGAGAGGUGUUGAUAUUCUGGUGGCAACUCCAGGAAGAUUGGUGGAUUUGUUGGAGAGGGCUAGGGUUUCAUUGCAGAUGAUCAAGUAUUUGGCCUUAGAUGAGGCAGAUCGGAUGCUGGAUAUGGGUUUUGAGCCUCAAAUAAGAAAAAUUGUGGAACAAAUGGACAUGCCUCCACCUGGUUCAAGACAGACAAUGCUGUUCAGUGCUACCUUUCCAAAAGAGAUACAGGUCUGUUUUCUGCUCCUUAAAGUUUCUUUUAUAAGGAGAAAGCUCCCAUUACUAAUUUGAGAGAUCCCAAAGCUUUUUUGGCUUUUGUAUAGAAACAUUACUAUAUUAAGUCCGCUCUUCUUCUGUGAGGUAGUAGAUGCACAAAAUAAUUAGAAGUAAAUAUGCUUUGACUUCCUUUGAAUACCUCAAGUGUAUGGAAGGUGGGGGCUAUCUUUGGCACUCUGAUUGACAUACUUGCUUUGCUGAUAAGAAAAAAGGUUUUGAUUAGGUAAUAUUGCAUUUAAUGACCAAAACAAGAAACCCUUGCCGAUACUGAUUUUCUGAAAUUUGAUUGAGAAUUCCUAUAAUUACAUCUGUGUAUGGUGUUAAAUUCGAUAGGGUAAGAGGUGUUAUAUCCGAGAAAUAGCAAAACGCAUGCAAACCUAUAAUGCUUCAAAUCUUCUCUUCUGGUCUUGUAUACUGCAUCAUCUUUUCCACAUGUAAUGAGGCAGAAUUUGGUUUGAGAUGUAGAUGAUGCACAAGCACCUUGGAUAUGGUGUCAAAGAUUUGCUUAUGAUGCUCAAAAUUCUAUAAUAGUGAUACCUUUCAACCUUUUGUUGCUAUGCAGAGACUAGCUUCUGACUUUUUGGCAAGUUAUGUCUUUUUGGCUGUUGGACGAGUGGGCUCAAGUACAGAUUUGAUUGCCCAAAGAGUUGAAUUUGUUCAGGAGUCUGACAAAAGAAGUCACCUCAUGGACCUCCUUUAUGCACAGCGGGCGAAUGGUGUUCAGGGCAAGGUAACACUGGCAAAAACAAUGUUUGCUUCCCAACUCCUUCUCCUGCUACUAGAGAAUGGGGAAUGUUUUGACUUGUUAGUGGCAUGCCCUGAUAUAUCUUAGAUAAGCUUUAUUCACAGAUAAAUAAUCAUUAGAAAAAUCUUGUUUCCUUGUUAGUAUCUGCCAUUGACUGUUGCAUAUAUUAUGUAAUAUUUCAGCAAGAUUUGACAUUAGUAUUUGUGGAGACUAAGAAGGGUGCUGAUUCACUUGAGCAUUGGCUAUGCAUUAAUAAUUUCCCUGCUACUAGCAUCCAUGGUGAUAGAUCACAACAGGUAUUAUUUUUCGUCAUUGCUGUAGUUAUUCUUUCAUUCACGGUAUCUAUUUCAAUUCAAACAUUUUAUCUCGUGAUCUUGAUUCUGAUUGCUGAAAUCUUUGGUUGGGACCUUUAUGAAGCUGUUGGUCUUGUGAAGGGAUUAGGUGGGUAAUCAGUGCUCGUCAGUGACAUCCUUAAUAGUAACAAAAUAGAAACAAGAAAGAUUGCAAAAGCAGACUUCUUAAAAUACUUUCUAGAGCAAUAUAAAAACGUCAUUAGAAUAUGGGGUUUGAAAAUUUUCAUUAUUUUGGAUGACAGGGCAUUCAUUGCCAGCUGAUUUUGCUGUUUUUCCUUUCAUAACUUUUCCUAUUUAAUUGUCUUUGAUGAUGCAGCUUGUUAUUCUUGACAAAUAAGAUCAACCAUAAGUGCCAAGCUCCUAGAUAGUUAUAACCAAAACUAUAAAUGGAAGUCUUAGUGAGACAAAUUGAAUGACUGAAAGAAUUUGGUAAAGUUUAGCUUGUGAAAGAUUCUCGUUUGUCAACAAAAAGCAUCAGAGAAAGUGUUUGUUGGACGGAAUUUUGAGGACAUUUUCUGGAAAUGGAGGUGGCAGACUGAUACACCUCUGAACUGGGUGCUUCAGAACAGAAUUUUAUAAUGUUUGUCUUUUUGGGAAGGGGUGGUUGGUGUCUGUCUGGUGUUGCCAGGGUUUGUGAUUAGCAGUUGUAAACUUAUAUUAACUGUGGCAUGUGGGGUGAGGGGAUGCAUCCCCUCCUUUUUCCAAAAUCUUUAAGACUUGUUUUCUUCUUUCUUUUGGCUGAUAAAAGGGCUGCUGUGGGGGCGAUAGUAGUAGCAAAUCAAGCAUCUAGAUGUUAUGUAAUUACAUACCAGACUGCUGUUGGGAAUGAAAUAAGUUUGAUUCCUAGAUAAACCCACUUCAUAUCUGUUCUUGGUUUUUUUUCUGAUUUUGUCCUUUCAUUAUUGGAUUGUUACAUAUUUGAAGUUAUUGUUAUAUUUGUAAUACAGUACUCUGAUAAAUUUGUUUCUAAAUCAUGCAGGAAAGAGAACAGGCAUUGCGCUCAUUUAAAUCUGGCAACACUCCAAUUUUGGUAGCAACUGAUGUUGCAGCACGUGGUCUUGAUAUUCCUCGUGUUGCACAUGUGGUUAACUUUGAUCUCCCAAACGAUAUUGAUGAUUAUGUCCAUCGUAUCGGACGAACGGGACGAGCUGGAAAAUCUGGUCUGGCAACUGCCUUCUUCAAUGAGGGCAAUGCAUCAAUGGCAAGGCCACUAUCUGAACUAAUGCAAGAAGCAAAUCAAGAAGUACCUGCUUGGCUCUCUCGUUAUGCAGCUCGUGCUUCCUUUGGAGGGAAGAACCGUCGUUCUGGGGGAGGUCGGUUUGGUGGCCGUGACUUUCGGAGGGAUUCCUCUUCCAGUAGGGGCAAUUCAGAUUAUUAUGGUGGAGGAAGCAGUGGUGGAUAUGGAGGGGCUUCAGGCGGGUAUGGUGGUGGAGGCUACGGUUCUGGGGUGACCAGUGCAUGGGAUUAAACAAUUGACCAUUUUAAGCAUUUACAGGACUCGGUGUCUAGUGUUUGUGGACUACUCCCUUCUUUCACGGGGACCAUUUUCUCAUUUUUGUUGCAUCUUUUAGUUAGCUGUCUCUAGCCAUCGUCGUUACUAUACUCUUAGAAGUAACUAUCACUGAGAGGGGGGUCUAAGUUUGGGGUUGGUGCGCUGCAGGAGUAGAGAUGUACAAUGCUUGGUAGUUUAUGGUGAAAAAAGUUCUAAUAGAAUAGGUAUUACUCGGUGCCCUUCUUUUUUCCGUUUUCUCUUCCCUCUAAACUUUGCUGGCUGUUGAAGGGUUGUAGAAUAUGUGGUGGGGGAGGGCAUAGGGUUUCUUUUCAGUCAUUUGUGUUAAUCUCUUAGGCAUGUUCUUUUCGACCUGGUUGGAGGGGACUUAUUGUUGAGGCAUCUAGUCCUGCUGUUUCUCUAGUUUCUCUUCUUCCCCUUUGAAAGGAGUCUUUGAAAAGGCUUUUGUAAUAUUUUGAUGGUCACUGGAAUAAAUACUAAGCUUUCUCGGAACAUGAAUAUGCUUGAAUUCUCCCCUGCUGAAAUAUCUGGGAAUCAGUCCAUGAAUUCAUACUUCUGUAAUCAAGGUGGUGAAUUUUCCAGUUUUGACAGUUCCACCUAUAUUAUCCUGAUUACUACAUUAACCUUUCUCUUUUUACGAUUUUAACAUACAUCUAUUCCACAGCUUUAUAUUUUAAUCUUUAGUUAGCAUUAACAAAUCGGUCUAUGAUUUAUUGGUACAAAUUUGAUGAUGCUACAGGAUGUGUUCAUGAUGUUUACGGAAUUUUACUAGUAGCAUUACACCAUGAAAUAUGCUUAGAUGGGAUUUUCUUCUGCUUCACUUUUUAGCUGUCUUUGUUGCCUCAGGACUGAUGUGAAGCUGUCAAACGUGAAAUAGAUAAACGAGGUUGCCAAAUUUAUUGAUGAAAUAAAUUUCUCAAAGAUUGACUUGUGACAGGCUAUGCGAGAAAAGUGGGAGAGGAGAAGAAAAAUAAACUCCAUGCAUGUCAGUGUGCUGUGUCAUGUGUAAGAUGGGUCCAAAAUGGAGGAGAUGGAGCAGUUGCGUUUUUGGUUUUUUAGGAGAAAGAAAAGGAGGGCCAUUGAAACAGAUGCCACAUCCAAUAUGUGUAGAGGUUUUUUUAAUCAUCUUUUGACAUAUGCAAGAUGAGCCAAAAGGGCAAGUACACCAAAAUAUGUUCAUCCAUGUUCACCAUCUUUCGCAGCCUAUUAGGGUUAGGGUUUUGUACACUUUAGCAUCAUAAUAAUAAUAAUAAAGACAGAGAUAGCAAAAACAAACAUCAGUGUGUUUUAUAUUUACAUCCCUCCAACUAAAAUGUUUGUAUCAUAACGUGAUUGAACAUGAUAUGGUUAGAAAACUUCACUUGUGUUAAAUUGCACUUGAAAGAAAGUAUAAGAGGAUGCAAGUAUGGGUUAAUUUAAUUUAAUUUCACAUUAUAGAUGGUUUAAUUUUUGUCCCAUCUUUCCAACAUAACAACUUGCGCAUAAUAAAUCUCAUCUAGAGUCAAUUAAACUUAAUGAAUGGUAUGAAUUAUGAAGAAGUGCUAAUAAUUAUAUGUUUCCUAUCCCACGCUCCACAUUAGGACAAGUUCAAAGAGAGAAUGAUGUUGAAAGUUAUGCAAUUAUAAGCUACUUUGACUAUGAAUCCAUAGCCAAAGAUCAAUGCUAGACGAAUUGAAGAUCGAGGCACAGAAACAGGCAAGCGUGGGCAAAUCAACUACGAGGGACGAAUUGACAAAAUGCUUGACAUCAUUGAAAGAAACUCGAUGUCGAAUUUCAUUCAUUCUCAAAAGAAAGUAGUUUUCAUUGUGUGGUUAAUUUAAUUAGGGGAUCUAAAAUAGACUUCAAGAAUAUGGAUAUGGUGGGUUAAGAAAUUAUUUGUAUGAUGGGUUUCAGUUACCGAAAAUUAUGCCAUUUCUGCAAAUCAUCACACCCUUUGGAGUGGUUGCACAUUUCCUAUUGGAAAUGGUCCUAUGAUAUGUUACAACUAUCUUUCAAAUUUUCAUUUUUUUUAUUCGAGAUUAUAUAUAUAUAUAUAUAUAUAGUAAAGUUAUUAAACAUUAUACAGGAAAGGGAUUGAGUCACAUGAUACGUAGGUUAAUCUAAAUUGAUUAGGUUAAUCCAAAACGAUAUCAUUUUAAAUUUUUUAAAGUCAAACAAGAUUUUAACAAUAUCAUUUUGAUUUUCUUUUAAAUCAAACAAGCUUUUACUCGAUUGUUAGUUGAUUCAUCAGGUCAACCAUGUCAAAUUUCAUAUAGUUUUUAUUGAAAUAUGACUUAAACUAAGUUUCGAAUUAUGAAUUGUAUGGUUAACUGACUCAAUUCAAAACGGUCAAAAUAAUAUUAUUUUAAUAUUUUUAAUUCAAAUUAAUUUUUAAUCAUGUCAAUUCCCAUGCGGUUUUUGUUAAAAGCCAACUCAAAUAAAGUUUCGGAUAAACCUGAAUUUAAUAACACACUUACGUAAGUUAUCGAGGGAAUAUAUUAAAGUUAAAGCUUUCACACACACGUAUCAAAACCAAUAUAAUUCAAGUUAAUGCAAUUAAUAAGACGUGUUGACAAGGGUUCGAAGAUAAUACCCAUCGUUAAUGCAUGUGCACCUUAAAGAGGAUAUUUUUCUUCACUUUCAUUUAGGGUUAUUUCGAAUUGCAGUAAUAGUGAUAAUUUAGGGUGUGUUUGUUUUUUGAAAAUUAGUUUUUGAGAAAUUAUUUUUUAAUUUUUCUUGUAUUUGUUUGUCAUUAGAAAAGUUGGUCAAUGAAAAAUAUUUUUCAGUCAAAAAAAAUUUAGCUUGGUUUCCAGAAAAAUAUUUUUCUUUUGGACCACCUGCGACAUGAAAUAGUAAUUUUAAACAUUUUUCUUGUAAAAACAAUAUUAUUGCAUUACCAUAUAUCUUUCAUGGCUUGAUUGUUAUAUAUAUUUUGUUUUGAAUAUUUAUUUUUCAAUUUCAUCUCUUAAAAUUUAAUUUUUAUAUUAACUUUGGUCCUUAUUUUUAUAAUUGUUAUUUGCUUUUUCCUUAUCAUUUUUUAUUGAAAUUUUUUAUGUAUCAAAUUUGGUCCUUAUUCUUUUGAUUAUUACUUAUUUUAUUUGAAAUAAUUUAUGAAAAGUUAAUUAUUAUUACUUUAAUUUCUUCAUCUUUCAAUUUUUUAAAUUUUUAGAUUUGAUCUCUAUUAUUUUGAUUAUUAUUUAUUUUAUUUGAGAUAAUUUAUUAAAUAUAUAUUUUUUAAUUUCAUUCUCAUUCAACUUUUUAAUUUGUAAGAUUUGUUCCUCAUUAUUUUAAUAAACUUGAAAAAAAUAAAACAUUAAUAAGUUAUUUUCCAACUCAUUUUUCAUGACAUAACCAAACUCUAGAAAGUGUUUUCCAACUUAUUUUCCAUUACACUACCAAACAUCGGAAUAUAAUUCACUUUCACAGAAUUCACUUUUCAAAAGGAAACUACUUUCCAGCAAACAAACGGGGCCUUAAAGUGUUUUUCGCUUAGAAAUGCAUUAAAAUGAAGUUUUUUUAUUUUUUAAAAAUCAUUUUUAAUAUCAGCAUAUUAAAACAAUCUGAAAAUAUAAAAAAUAUAUUUAAAAAAAAUAAAAAAUUUAAAAUUUUUAAAAAUACAGCGAAACCAAACACACUCUUAUCAUAAAUUAGUGGUUGAGACUUUACUACAUCAAAGCUAUGAGCGUUUCUAACUAUUGAUUUUCAUAGAUGAUGAUGUAAAAUCAAGUCUUAAAUUGUAACAUAUAUUAAAACGCAUUAGUGUUUUACCGUGGAGUCCACAGUAAAACACUUUUUAGUUUUUUUUUUUGAGUUGUCUUUUUUUUUUUAGCUGUUUUGUUUUUUGUUUUUUAUGCAUUUCAGGUUUUGUCUUUUUGCUUCUUUCUUUGUUUUUUUUAAUAAUUUUUUUUUGUUUAAUUUACUUUGUUAAUGUUAAUUUUUUUUUUAUUUAGUUAUCAGACUUUCAUGAUACGAAUUCCGGGUUUAACAGGUUAACCUGAUUUGACGAGUUAACUCAAAUUUUUUUUUCUUUUAAUUAAUUUUUUUUUUACUUUAGUUUGUUAAUAUUAAAUUUCUUUCUAUUUAGUUAUCAGCCUUUCAUGACACAUAUCUCAGGUUUGACGGGUUAACUCGUGAAUUUUUUUUAAUAAUUUUUUUAUUUAAUUUAGUUUGUUAACGUUAAUUUUUUUUAUUUAGUUAUCAGACUUUCAUGACACGGAUCCCGGUUUUAACGGGUUAACCAGGUUUGACGAGUUAACCCAUAAUUUUUUUUCUUUUUAAUUAUUAUUUUUUCGUUUAGUUUAGUUUGUUAAUGUUAAAUUUUUUUCUAUUUAGUUAUCAAACUUUCAUGACACGGAUCCUGGGUUUGACGGGUUAGCCCAGUUAAUUCUGAGUUAACCCGUUAAUUUUUUUUUUCCUAUUUAGUUAUCAAAAUUUCACGACACGAAUCUCAGGUUUGACGGGUUAACCUGGUUUGAAGGGUUAACCCAGUUAAUUCAUAUUUUUUUUCUUUUUCUUCAUUAGUUUUUUUCUUCAUGUUGGUUUUUUUCUUUGUUUUUUCUUUUUAAUUAAUCUAUUAAUUAUUACACUUUUAUGACACGACCUUGCAGUCAAACACACAUCCAAAGCUAUUGGGUCUGGUAUUGCAGCCAGACCCACUUAAACCUGGGUCAUGCAAGUUUAAUGUUAUUAAUAAUAUUAUAAAUAUUGCUUUUGAGUUAGGUGUUGCAGCCAAAUCCAAGAUUUUUGGAUAUAGCUAUACAGAAAGAUCUAACACUUUUAGAUUUUAGUUUUUUUUAUAUUUUUUAUACAAAAAAAUUAACCCGUGACAUCGCGUGGGUCAAUAUAACUAGUUUGAUCAAGAAUGGAUCACGUAUAUAUAGAAAUAGAAAUAGUAAUGCGUCUUGAAGAAAUUGAAGCUAUUCUCAGUUUAUACAAAGGGAAUAUUUUUUAAUGGUUUUAUAUGAUGGCUAAAAACAAAAAUAAAAAAUUCUUAAGAAAUAUUAUCUAAUAUAUUUUUAAUUAAAAAUAUUUUUUAAAAACACGGAAUUAUCUCACACAAUAUCGUGGGAAUGUUCCCUUAGGUUAGGUUUGAAGGGUCUUUUAGGGUUGGUAUGGAAGCACUUCCAAGGCAUCGAUGAAGAAAAUUCAGUCAAUCAUUCAUUUGAAACCAACACAUCCACGUCCCCAUAGUUACUUUUUAUCAUCAUUUCUUGCUCACCAAUUUGUCUUUUUGACAUAGAUCUACACAAUUAUGCUAUGUUAGUAAAUAGCAGUAUUUUAGCUAAGAAGAACACCAUCAAUACUAUAGACUUUGAGUAGAUGGGGGCAUUGAUUUGAAACAAAAAAAUCUAAAAAGGUGUUUGAUUCCUCCAUUAAUCCAUUGAGAAUGAUGGAUCCCAAUUCUCAUACCAUCAAAAUCCUGUGCCCCUUGAAAUGGGUUUUGACCUAUGCAUGUAGUCAGUCAUUGAGCAAGCAAUAACAAGACCCCACUAUGAGCCCUUUGUCCUCUCCUCCUAUCUUGCCAGCUGAAAAAUUGAAUUUUUUUCUUACAAAUCUAACAUCAAUCGUUAAAUAAAUAGUAGAAGUUUUUGUCAAACUUGACCAUAAAUGAUGCCAAGUAUAUUUGUUCCACGCCGUAGCAGUGUUAUUAAACCUGCUAGUCCGGCGGGUUUUGUCGGAUAGUUUAGCUCAGUGGCUUAUUAUCCCCUUUUUUUCAUAUUAAAUCAGUUUGAUUAAUAAGCUAAUUUAUAAUUCAAGUUAAAACUUGAUUUUACUUUAAUUUUAAAAUAUUUUUAAAAUAAUAUUAUUUUAGAUUAACUCAUGUUUCGUCAAUUUAACUUAUUUAAUCUGUUAUCCAAACAAACAUCGAAGGAAACCAGAUUUAAUAACUUUGCAUGAGAGUUCAAGAAUAGUGUUAAAAAUAAAACAAAAAAAACUUUGAAAAUACACAUUGAGUUAAUAGAUUAGUGAAAUCCAUUAUUAAAAAUUUUACUUUAAAAUUACAAUUUAGUGACUCAGAUUUAUUGAAAUGAUGAUAUGUUUAUGAUUCCAUUGAAAAUAAUUUGAUUUUAAAAUAUAAAUAUUGUUAAAAAAUGAUCUUAUUGUAAAAAAAAAAUGUGUAAAAUCUAAAAGAAAUCCAAAAAAAAAAAACAAAGAAAAAUAGUAUUGCAUUAAAUAAAAAUGGAAAAUCAACUCUUUGUUAAGACAAGAGUCACAAAGCCCCUGUAAAUUAAAGAAGUUGUCGAACUCAAUGGGACCAGCUGUUAAUGUUAAGAGAACAAACUCUCACUGUGGUCAGAGAGAGAGAGAGAGAGAGAGAAAAGAGUUGAUUUUUAGAGAGAGAGAGAGAGUGGUGCUCUCAUGUUUUGUUAGCUACAACAAAGUUUGUAACCUGUUUCUUUGUUUGCAUUUGUUAGAAGGUGAAAAAGGGACAACAAUAUCAGCAACAAAACACAAAGCUCUUUGUUAUCUCUCUUUGGUGUCAGAUUUAACUCUUGAAUCUCUCAAUUUUGGCUGUCUUGAUCUGUUUGGUCUCAUAAAGGAGCUAUCUUUUCUUUAAAGCUCUAAUCUUUCUAUGAAUCUCUGAUGCAAAAGAUGGAGCAUCAUCGGUCAUCAAAUGGUCCAAGAGGGUUUAGAGUUCAAGCUCCACUAGUAAGCUGACUUGAUCUUUUUAAUGCCUUUUUUGUCGUUUAUUUUUCUUGUUUUUUGAAGAAUUUAUGAGAUAAAUGUGAAGGCUUCGAGGGAAUUAUUUGGAUUUUAAUGUUUGGUAAUUGAUUGGUUUAGUCUGUGUUUGCAUUUUGGUUGCCGGGUUUUUGUUUUUUUUUGGUGUUUAGAAGAUACCCAUAUAGAAUGGCUUGUUAAUUCUGUGACUUGAAGCAAAUUUUGGGGGGUUAUUGAUAGGUAUGUGAGGCUUAGAAUUUGGUUGCUUGCAUUUUUUUUGGUUUUUGUUUUAUGGCCUUUGAUGAUGCCUAAAUGAAAAUGGCUCGCUAAUUAUGCUACCUAGAGAAAAUUUCUUGGAAAUUUAGGGCUUGCAUGUUUGAGAAUGUGUUUGGUUUUUUUUUUUUUUAAUCAAUUUGCUUUGAUGGUCAUUCCUUGUUCAAGUUGUUGUAGAUGCCAUGAUCAAAUUCUAUCACUAAUAACAAUUGUUUUGGGGAUUAAUGUUGAAUUUUAUGAGCAUUAGUUAGGGAUGCUUCCCCCUUCUGACUUUUGUCACUUGGGUUCCCUCCUCUAUCUUGGGUGUCUAUGUUAUCCCUGUUUAAGGUUGCUGUGCAAAAUACUCACUACUGUAUUUAACUGUUUAAUGUUUCUUUUAAGUUUUGAAUGAUGAUUUUGUAAGUUUUGUCAGAUAGAAAGUGCAAUUUGUUUGCAUUUAAAGUGGAUAUAAGCUUAUGAAUGUAAACUUUUUUGAGAGAAUACAGCUAUAAUGUAGGAUUUGUUAUAAUGGUGCAUUGUCUGAGCUCUUUUCAAUGUUUGAAUAAUUUGGGGACUAUCCAUAGGUCCAGGCUUCACUACUUGCUGGAUUGUUUGCGUUCUUGAAGAUGUCAACAAGACAUUGCCUUGAACUCAGGCCAUACUUCAAGGACAAUAAUGUUUAUCUGGAACCAGCAUGUCUUUGAUUGUUGAUGACCAAAAUUAGACACUUUAUCUUUGAUGCAAGUUUUAUCUCUAUCUUAAUCAUUUUGUUUAUAUUUAGAAUGGGAAAGAAUGAACAAGAGCCACAUCAUUUCCUGGCCUGAAUAAUGUCACUUAAAAAGCUCCAUGCAAGAUCUGGCCACUCAAAAAUGUCAACGCUUGAACUACUCUCAUGGAAAGUUGAUGAACUUUCAGAAAAUGGUGCACUAAAAAGUAAUUUGCAGUUAUGUGCUGAAUCUGCCCAUUUGAGAAAUGUUCCAAACUCUCUUUCUCCAUGAAAUCUGGAAAGGAAGCUAAUAAAGCAACUUUUCAACAUGGUACUAUCUACUGUCACAGUGUUGAUCUAUCAGCUUGUGUAGAUUACAAUGGGCUAUGUGAAAUCUAGCUAAAGCCACGUAAGACCAAAAGCCUUCAUGAACAUAUCUGACUAGAAUAGAGAAAAAAUUAAAUGUGUGGAAAUACAUGAAAUGAUCGGAUAAGUUAUUAGUACAUUCAAAUGAAGGUGGAGGUGGCAUCCAUUGAAGAUACUUUGGGAAGGGAUCAUUUGAAAUGGUUUUGCCAUAUUAGAUGCAAAAUUAUGGAUGCACCAGUGCAAAUCAUUGUUUGGAUUUAAGUAGUAGGAGUAAAAAAGAUAGGUAAACUGGAAAUGACAUGUAUUGAAAUUGCAAAUCAUCCAUGGAUUUAAGUAUCAUGGCAAUCCACAGAACAAUUGACUGUAUAAAGAACAAAUGGAAGAAAAGGAUUGGAAUUACACAUAAGCUCAUCUAGUUUGGGAUUAAGAUUUACUGGAGGUGGAUUGAAUUAUAUUUUUCAAAGACAAUUGUCUGUGGUGAUAUAUAACCUUGUAUAUUGGAUUGGGAAGGAAAACUGAAGAUAAAGAAAAAGUUGUUACUCCACAUGUUAGACCACGUUUUGUUUCCUUAUGGGCGCUAAUGUUAUAACUCUGGCACUAAGACUUUUCUUAUUGCUGAUGUGAUUAAAUGAUGCCUGUAAUGUGAUCCUUGGUACAAAUUGUUGGUGUUAAGUAAAUUACACACUUUUCCAUUUUGUUGAAUGAUGACAUCCACUAUCUGCGAUCAAUAUCUAAAUGUUGUGUGUGAGAAAGUAUAAUCAUGUAAGCAGGAAUGAUGGCGUAUAUUUCUGCAGAAUGUGCUCAUAUAUGAAACUUUUUUUGCAUUCUAACAUGGAUUGUUUUGCAGGUUGAUUCCGCAUCAUGUUAUUGCAAAGUAGAUUCUGGUUUAAAAACAGUUGCUGAGGCAAGGAAGUUUGUUCCAGGAUCAAAACUUUGUAUCCAGCCUGAUAUCAAUCCUAAUGCACACAAGAGCAAGACCUCACGCAGAGAGAGGACCCGAGUCCAACCACCACUUCUUCCUGGUCUACCUGAUGAUCUGGCCAUUGCAUGUCUGAUUCGAGUUCCUCGAGCUGAACAUCGAAAGCUCCGUCUAGUUUGUAAGAGAUGGUACCGCCUCCUUGCUGGGAACUACUUUUAUUCUCUUAGGAAAAGUCUUGGAAUGGCAGAGGAGUGGGUUUAUGUCAUCAAGAGAGAUCGUGAUGGAAAGAUCUCGUGGAAUGCUUUUGAUCCUGUCUAUCAGAUCUGGCAACCACUUCCACCAGUUCCUCGUGAAUAUUCUGGGGCCCUUGGUUUUGGUUGUGCUGUUCUAAGUGGUUGCCACCUAUACUUAUUUGGAGG